AAGGAAACAGCCUUCACUCAUCUCAACUGCUGGUAUCUGUCUAUUUGGCCAUUGGAGAAGAACAGAUAAGGAGUUUUCCGGCGACAAUCGAGCUCCUAAAAUGGCCGUUCUUCAUGCUUCCGCCUCCCUCUCUCUCGCCAUACGCGAUGCUUCCUUCGCAAGAUCAGCCCCAAAACCCUUUCCACUUCGCAGAGGUCACCUCCCGAAUUUAUACCGAUUCGGAACCACGUUUGCUACUGGCUCUCCACUUGUGAUAAGCAAGCCAAGUGGUCAAACGAAGCGUGCAAUGAAACCAAAUUCUGUUUCUAUAAGAUGUGAGCAAAGUAGCCAAGAGAGUAAUAAUUUGGAUGUUUGGCUUGGGCGGCUAGCAAUGGUAGGAUUUGCAAUUGCAAUAAGUGUUGAAAUAGCAACAGGCAAAGGUCUUUUGGAGAAUUUUGGAGUAACGGCUCCCCUGCCUAGUGCAGCAUUGGGAGUCACCGCAUUGGUUGGCAUAUUGACAGCAGUUUUCAUCUUUCAAUCAGCUUCCAAAAACUGAACACGUCUAAGAUUUUCACUGCACAUUGGCUGUAAACGGUGAUAGAGGGAGAGUCUGUGAAGCCUGCAAUUAGCUACAUCCAAUUCUCAGUGAGGUGUUGUUUCUUUUUCAUCGGGUUCGCUUGGUUGAAUCACAUGUUGCUCACCAGUAUCAAUGUAAUUUGGAUUUUCAAGAGCGUCGACCAAAUAUGUGUAGUUUGUACCCCCGUCGUAGAAUUUUUUUCAAUGUUGUUCGAGUCUUGUAAAAAUUUCUUCUGGUUGUCAAUCAUGUGGUUUAAGCAUCCUGAAUCAACAAUCCAAUUAUCCUCAUAAUUGGUAUGCUUUCUCA